rnacentral:rRNA from 1 species
AUUGAACGCUGGCGGCAUGCCUUACACAUGCAAGUCGAACGGCAGCACGGGAGCAAUCCUGGUGGCGAGUGGCGAACGGGUGAGUAAUGUAUCGGAACGUACCUUUCAGUGGGGGAUAACGUAGCGAAAGUUACGCUAAUACCGCAUAUUCUGUGAGCAGGAAAGCAGGGGAUCGCAAGACCUUGCGCUGAUUGAGCGGCCGAUAUCAGAUUAGCUAGUUGGUGAGGUAAAGGCUCACCAAGGCGACGAUCUGUAGCGGGUCUGAGAGGAUGAUCCGCCACACUGGAACUGAGACACGGUCCAGACUCCUACGGGAGGCAGCAGUGGGGAAUUUUGGACAAUGGGCGCAAGCCUGAUCCAGCCAUGCCGCGUGAGUGAAGAAGGCCUCGGUUGUAAGACGU